rnacentral:rRNA from 1 species
CCUACGGGAGGCAGCAGUGAGGAAUAUUGGUCAAUGGGCGCGAGCCUGAACCAGCCAAGUAGCGUGAAGGAUGACUGCCCUACGGGUUGUAAACUUCUUUUAUAAAGGAAUAAAGUGAGGCACGUGUGCCUUUUUGUAUGUACUUUAUGAAUAGGAACGGCUAACUCCGUUCCAACAGCCGCCGUAAUACGGAGGGUUCGAACGUUAUCCGGAUUUUUUGGGUUUAAAGGGAGCGUAGAUGGGGUGUUAAGUCAGUUGUGAAAGUUUGCGGCUCAACCGUAAAAUUGCAAUUGAGACUGGCAGUCUUGAGUACAGUUGAGGUAGGCGGAAUUCGUGGUGUAGCGGUGAAAUGCUUAGAUAUCACGAAGAACUCCGAUUGCGAAGGCAGCUUACUAAACUGCAACUGACAUUGAUGCUCGAAAGUGUGGGUAUCAAACAGGAUUAGAUACCCUAGUAGUC